AUACGUAGCGGGCGAGCGUUAUCCGGAAUUAUUGGGCGUAAAGAGUACGUAGGUGGUUUCCUACGCGAGGGGAUUAAGGCACUGGCUUAACCAUUGUUCGCCCCCCGAACUGGGGAACUUGAGUGCUGGAGAGGAAAGCGGCAAUCCUAGGGUAGCGGUGAAAUGCGUAGAUAUUAGGAGGAACACCAGUGGCGAAGGCGGCUUUCUGGACAGUAACUGACACUGAGGUACGAAAGUGUGGGGAGCAAACAGGAUUAGAUACCCUGGUAGUCCACACCGUAAACGAUGAGCACUAGGUGUCGGGCUCGCAAGAGUUCGGUGCCGCAGUUGACGCAUUAAGUGCUCCGCCUGGGGAGUACGUACGCAAGUAUGAAACUCAAAGGAAUUGACGGGG
rnacentral:rRNA from 1 species